AGAGACGCUGGCGGCGUGCCUAACACAUGCAAGUCGAGCGGAGUCGAUCGACGGAAGCCUUCGGGCGGAAGAUGGUUGACUUAGCGGCGGAUGGGUGAGUAACGCGUGGGCAACCUGCCUCGAAGACCGGGAUAACAGCCCGAAAGGGCUGCUAAUACCGGAUGUGGUCAAAGAUCCGCAUGGAUUUUUGAUUAAAGGGGAAACCCGUUUCGAGAUGGGCCCGCGUCCUAUCAGCUAGUUGGUGAGGUAAAAGCUCACCAAGGCGACGACGGGUAGCCGGCCUGAGAGGGUGACCGGCCACACUGGAACUGAGACACGGUCCAGACUCCUACGGGGGGCAGCAGUGGGGAAUCUUCCACAAUGGGCGAAAGCCUGAUGGAGCGACGCCGCGUGAGCGAAGAAGGCCUUCGGGUUGUAAAGCUCUGUCUGGAGGGACGAAGGAAGUGACGGUACCUCCGGAGGAAGCCACGGCUAACUACGUG
rnacentral:rRNA from 1 species